CGGGACGGGUGAGUAACGCGUGGGUAACCUGCCUCAUACAGGGGGAUAACAGUUAGAAAUGGCUGCUAAUACCGCAUAAGCGCACAGGACCGCAUGGUCUGGUGUGAAAAACUCCGGUGGUAUGAGAUGGACCCGCGUCUGAUUAGCUAGUUGGAGGGGUAACGGCCCACCAAGGCAACGAUCAGUAGCCGGCCAGAGAGGGUGAACGGCCACAUUGGGACUGAGACACGGCCCAG
rnacentral:rRNA from 1 species